UCCCAGUUCGGACUGUAGUCUGCAACCCGACUACACGAAGCUGGAAUCGCUAGUAAUCGCGAAUCAGAAUGUCGCGGUGAAUACGUUCCCGGGUCUUGUACACACCGCCCGUCACACCAUGGGAGUCGGGAAUGCCCGAAGUCAGUGACCCAACCUUUGGAGGGAGCUGCCGAAGGCAGGUCUGAUAACUGGGGUGAAGUCGUAACAAGGUACC
rnacentral:rRNA from 1 species